rnacentral:rRNA from 1 species
UACGUAGGGUGCAAGCGUUAAUCGGAAUUACUGGGCGUAAAGCGUGCGCAGGCGGCUUUGCAAGACAGAUGUGAAAUCCCCGGGCUUAACCUGGGAACUGCAUUUGUGACUGCAUGGCUAGAGUGCGGCAGAGGGGGAUGGAAUUCCGCGUGUAGCAGUGAAAUGCGUAGAUAUGCGGAGGAACACCGAUGGCGAAGGCGGCGCUCUGGGCCGGUACUGACGCUGAGGAGCGAAAGCGUGGGUAGCAAACAGG